ensembl:lncRNA
CUAUUAGCCCACCUAAAAUCAUCUUAAACAAAUUUUCACCAAAUUGACCCAGGACUUAAAUUUAUGCUGUCUAGCCAGUGCUGUACUAAAGAAAAAAAGAACAUUAAACAACCUACAGCCAACUAACAUGACCUCUAACCCUUUGAGGUGUAAUGAGCAGGUCAACUGAUCCUAAUUAAGCAAACUGGCACCACUUUCACAAAUAAGGGUCAUCACACCUGAGAUUAAAUGCACAAUAUCUGUUACUUGUAAACAAUUCAUUAGCCAUGCAGUCAAAGUACAUUGUUUUAAAACCAGCAAGAAGUUCUAAGCUACUUAGCUGCAGAUUUCUCAUUCAUGAAUUAUUAUAGUAAAUGUACAAAUAAUCUACAGAAGCAGUUCAGUUUAAUGUGACCAUAAACGAGGAAGACUGCAGUGACAAUGCCUGAAUCCACAUGGAAAAACUCUGGGAAAGUGUUCCAUUCCAUACACGGUUAAAUCUUGAUGCAUGUUUUCUGCAUGAUUUCUAGAGAUAAUACAGCAUAGAUGCAGCGUGAGUGGGCGUGAGCUUGACGUUGACACACUGUCAUGUUAAAUAAAUGAAGUCUUAGCUCUGUGCCUGUGUUUGAGUUAUUUUUUCCCGGGUUGCUGGGGUAAAGGCUGAAAUAUGAAGGGUUCGGAGCAGAAGGAGCACAUCUGAGCUCUUGACACUGACUGGAGCGAUCUCAAGAGACAUGUUAAGUGCUGUCUGUAGCUUUUUAUUUUUGUUACAGGCAGUUUAACCAGGUGUCACUGAGCAUUGUUUGCUUGAGAACUUCUGAUGGAUUGAAUUGGAAAAAUUGGACAUUUUUAUAUAAUAUUGCUCUUGAUGAUCCAUGUGAUAUUUUAAAGAGAAUCUGAUGCCAUUUAAUUGGGUCAAUCUACAAUUGUGAUGUCAUUUCCUGCUCAUGAAUUCUAAAUUAAACAUAUCAUACAAUCUUAUUUUGUCUUCUUUGACAUGUCAGGGUGAUAUUAAAUAUUUAGUUUAUUUUAAUAAUACAAAUAAAAUUUUUACCAUUGACUGACUUGCUCUUCUGUCAAAAUUUGCUGAAAAUUUUCAAAUUUUUAGGCCAGAUGAGUUUGAGGAGUAUUUAUUUAUCUGAACAGAACUGGAGAGUCCAAACAGCUGAUAAAAGCGUCAUAAAAAUUCACGAGUAAUCCACACCACUCCAGUCCAUCAAUUAACAUCUUUUGAAGCAAAAAAAAUAAAAAAUAAUACAUGAAAAAAUUCAGUACAUCAGGGCAUGGUGCUAAAAAUGCACACCGAGUUUUGUAACAAUACGUCAAAGCGUUUGUAAAAUAUUGAAUUUUUUUUACCAAAUUUAAAAAUGGCCGACACCCAAAAUGGUUGACAUGGGAAAAUUGGGUGUGAUUUGACUCGGCAUGUUCCAAAUGAUUUGACUUAGCAUGCUCCACCAAAUCUAAAGAAAUCAGUUUUGUUAUAUUUGGUCAAACCAUUCAGAAGAUAUAAGCAAAAAUAUAAUUUUUUCGUAUCUCUUGACCACUAGGUGGCACUGUGCCAAAACAAUGCAGGUAGCCUCAGGUCAUGCUUGUUAUAACACAUACCAAGUUUGGUCUCAAUACACCGAAUUGUUGCGAAGAUAAAGUCUCACAUCCAUUUUUGCGUGCUUUUAGUCAAAUUCGUUUGCGUGUUAUUCGAGAAUGGUUUGACUAAUCAACUUGAAUUCCAUAUAUUUUUGCCAGCAUGGUCUGAAGAUAAUGUGAGCCAGUUUUGGUGAAAAUCAGACAAACUGUCUAGGACGAGUUCAGAAAAAGUAAUUAAUUAAUUAAAAAUAGCAAGAAAAGAAACCUAAACCUUUUAAUUUGACCCUUUUGGACUUCAUUUGACUCGGCAUGAGCCAAGGAUUCAGAAGAAAAAAAUAUUUUCCUUCUGUGCCUUACAGUUCAAAAGUUAUUAGCAUAAACAUAAGUGAAAUUUUAGACAAGUGGUGAGACUCCAAACUUGCUGUGGUUGAUGAUGAGACUGUCUUCUAUCAGUGUGCCAAAUUUAAUUUCUCGUAAGCAGUUCUAUGGGCUGCCACAGACUUCCAGAGCGGAAGAAGAAGAAGAAGAAAAAGAAUGCCAACGGACACAAUAGGUGCCAAGAUGCAUUACAAGAUGCAUUACAAAAAAUGUUAGCAUUGAUCUAAUUGCUAAUUAUCAAUAUAUCAAAAUACAUUUUAACAACAUAUCUAAACUGCAUAAGAGAGUAAAACCAUGUGACCAAGUUGAAAUUGUAUUUUCUGUUUUUUAAGAUGCCUUAGAGAUUUUUCAAGAUCAUUUAUACAUGAGUUACAGUUAAAUUAAUUUAAUUUUAAACAUUUUCUAUCAUUUUCAAAAAAAAGGUUUUCUAAACAAAAGUGUAUAUUGUAGUUUGACUUGGUUGUUGAAAAGCAAAAGCAUCUGCCACCACAAUUGUAGAAUGACUCAAAGAACAAAUCUCCCCAAUGAACAUACCUCAAAACUGCAUGCAAAUAAAACUAACAAUUACAAACGCAAACAAAACACGCCAUUUGUGUAGUGCAUGCUUGAAAGCAUAUAUUACUUAUGAAUGAGGCUGUGCUUGCAUUUCUGUGCUUGGAUAUAGAUACUGAGAGCAGCUUCACUUCUGUUAUUACAGGAACAGUUCACCUAAAAAAUGAAAAUUCUCAUAUCAUGCCAAACCGUUUGUUCUUUUUUCAGUGGAAAAAGAGGCAUUUAGCAAAAAGUUCAUGCUGCUCUUUUCCAUACAAGGAAAGUGAAUGGAGACUGUAGUUGUCAAGCUACAAAAUUAGAAAGAAACACCAUAAAUGUACUCAAGUUUAAAGUGCCCCAAUUAUGCCUUUUUCGACUAUUACCUUUCAUGCAGUGUGUCAUGUAGCUGUAUGUGAACAUAAACUAUCUGCAAAGUUGUGACACCGACAGUGCACGAUAGAUAAAGUUAUUAUCUGUCAAAAAAAAAAAAAAAGAGUCAACUUGCAAUUGCCAAAAUGACUCGUUAGGAAUUUGAAUCUUAUUCUGUUACGGCUCUACAUCACGAAGUAACACAUUUGCAUAAUGUCCGCCCAAGUUUUAGGUCGCCAACUUGCCUGCCCACAAACACAGUAAAAUUUCUAUGUGGUUAACAUCAUUUAGAGAAGACACUGUAUCCUACACUGUGAGAGAAAAUUUGUUUUAUCACAUCUCAUAAUCAAUCACAAAGGACUGCACCAUCUGACCAAUCACAGCAGUGAGGGCUCACGGAAAGGAAGGGUUUAGAGAGACUGAUUCUUUGAACUGUCGUUAAUGAUUCAUUUAGAUAUGAGGUAAAAUUAAAUCUAUUUCCUGAGAAAACUAACAUGUUUUUUGACCUUGCAUGCAUGUAAACCUGUUUUAGGAGACUCAUAAAACAAUAUUAGCAACCUUAAAAAUGGCAUAAUAGGGGCACUUUAAUCGAAAUCUUCUGAACUUUGUGAGAGGAAAAGACCCAAUGUAUGUCUAGCAUACUCAGAAGUUUCCUCUAAUGUUAGUGUAUGAAUACCCUUUGUUGUUAUUUAAUUGGCAAAAACAAUUCUUAAUGUUCUAAGAACAUAGGUUUAUUUUUAAUAACAAAAAACAUAGUUCUAGAACAUCCAGAGAAGUUUUUGUGCCAAUCUAAUUAAACUAACACACAAUGUUCUCAAACUUUUUU